UACGAGGGGGGCUAGCGUUGCUCGGAAUUACUGGGCGUAAAGGGCUCGUAGGUGGCCAACUAAGUCAUACGUGAAAUCCCUCGGCUUAACCGGGGAACUGCGUCUGAUACUGGAUGGCUUGAGGUUGGGAGAGGGAUGCGGAAUUCCAGGUGUAGCGGUGAAAUGCGUAGAUAUCUGGAGGAACACCGGUGGCGAAGGCGGCAUCCUGGACCAAUUCUGACACUGAGGAGCGAAAGCCAGGGGAGCAAACGGG
rnacentral:rRNA from 1 species